rnacentral:rRNA from 1 species
CCUACGGGGGGCAGCAGUAAGGAAUAUUGGUCAAUGGACGCAAGUCUGAACCAGCCAUGCCGCGUGGAGGAUGAAGGCCCUUGGGUUGUAAACUUCUUUUAUUGGGGAAGCGGUACCCGAUGAAUAAGCACCGGCUAACUCCGUGCCAGCAGCCGCGGUAAUACGGAGGGUGCAAGCGUUAUCCGGAUUCACUGGGUUUAAAGGGUGCGUAGGUGGGCAGGUAAGUCAGUGGUGAAAUCUCUGGGCUUAACCCAGAAACUGCCGUUGAUACUAUCUGUCUUGAAUGUAGUGGAGGUGAGCGGAAUAUGUCAUGUAGCGGUGAAAUGCUUAGAUAUGACAUAGAACAUCUAUUGCGAAGGCAGCUCGCUACCUUAAUUGACACUGAGGCACGAAAGCGUGGGGAUCAAACAGGAUUAGAUACCCUUGUAGUC